UGAUUGGUGCCGGACUCAACCCUUGCGACUGUAAACGUGACUAAUAAUAAACCGUGAAAUCUGCACUGCUGUGUCAAGAGUGAAUCUAGCACGCGCUUCAGCGUCAUCCUCUCCAUCUGAUCAUAACAUACGUCUUAGGUUUUGGCUUUGAUCCCGUUGCUUUUACAGUAUUCUUCUUAAAAGAGCUGUGAGAAGCUAUUGUCAAGAUGCCUCACUGCACAACAGGAGCUUCCUGUGUAGAUCAUUAACAGGCCCCCGUGUGCUAGAGAGAAGCCCUAUCACCAUAACAACUCUGCUUCUGGGAUCUUGGGGUGCAGAGCUGUGUCAGUAUCCAUAAGUGAAAGAUAAUGAUGAUGAGGGUCACACAGUAGGGGCCGGAUACACGCGAUAUGCUGAGAUCACGAUGAGACAGAGUUUACCUGCGAGGAGGCUGACACCUGUGAAAAAAACAUACAUUAAGGUUUUCUUAGUCUUGGCAUCACAAUGCAAGAGAAACCAUGUCAGGUAGUUGAUGAGAGAAGAUAAGAUACUGUUACAUAGG